AUUACUGUAGGUAGCGGGUAUUUUAUCCAGGAAAAGGAAUGUGCUAACUUACGUGGCACGCAGCCCUCGUCAAUACGUCGGGUCGCCAAAUAGUUGUGCCGGAUUUCAUUUGGGCUUACAAGCGUAUGCGCAGGGUAGUUUACUUAAACUCCUGAUGUAAUAUGUGCAGUGGGCUUCAACAAUUGUGGUGGCAUUGGAACCUGGGAGACUUGAGUGCAGGAGAGGAGAGUGGAAUUUCCAUGUGUAGCGGUUAAAUGCGUAGAUAUAUGGAAGAAACACCGGAGGCGAAAGCGGCUCUGUGGCCUGUAACUGACACUGAGGCUCGAAAGCGUGGGGAGGCAAACAGGAUUAGAUACCCUGGUAGUCCACGCCGUAAACGAUGAGUGCUAGCUGUAGGGAGCUAUAAGUUCUAUGUAGCGCAGCUAACGCAUUAAGCACUCCGCCUGGGGAGUACGACCGCAAGGGUGAAACUCAAAGGAAUUUACGGGGGCCCGCACAAGCGGUGGAGCAUGUGGUUUAAUUCGAAGCAACGCGAAGAACCUUACCAGGUCUUGACAUACUCGUGCUAUCCUUAGAGAUAAGGAGUUCCUUCGGGACACGGGAUACAGGUGGUGCAUGGUUGUCGUCAGCUCGUGUCGUGAGAUGUUGGGUUAAGUCCCGCAACGAGCGCAACCCUUAUUACUAGUUGCCAUCAUUAAGUUGGGCACUCUAGUGAGACUGCCGGUGAUAAACCGGAGGAAGGUGGGGAUGACGUCAAAUCAUCAUGCCCCUUAUGACCUGGGCUACACACGUGCUACAAUGGAUGGUACAACGAGUCGCCAACCCGCGAGGGUGCGCUAAUCUCUUAAAACCAUUCUCAGUUCGGAUUGCAGGCUGCAACUCGCCUGCAUGAAGUCGGAAUCGCUAGUAAUCGCGGAUCAGCACGCCGCGGUGAAUACGUUCCCGGGCCUUGUACACACCGCCCGUCACACCACGGAAGUUGGGUAGUACCACGACAAAG
rnacentral:rRNA from 1 species